GUCUAUAAAUCCAUUUUGUGAGUGUACACACAAUUUUAGUGGAUAAAAAUACACUUGAUGGUGGAAGUUUCGUAGAUCUUAUGGAAGGCCCGUGACCCUCUCACCAUGAGCACGUGGAGGAUGGUUGGCCUCAACUACGUGAACUACUCGAACAUAGCCGCGAGAGUGCUGAGGAAGUCCCUCAAGGCGAAUCUGCGCGACGAAGCCGGCAAGAGGGACAUCUCUGCCAUCAGAUACUUCUACUGGCUAAAGGGAGAGAUGCUGGCUCAUGGAAAGAAACUUGAACCGGAAAAGGAACCAACUUAGCUCACGCUACUAUAACUAGAGUAGACAAUAGUUGAUUUUUUUUAUAGUUAAUAACGGUUUUAAUAUACAAAUUUAAAUUCGA